AUCCAGAGAAUUUAGCAGAGAUGCUUUAGUGCCUUCGGGAACUCUGAGACAGGUGCUGCAUGGCUGUCGUCAGCUCGUGUUGUGAAUGUUGGGUUAAGUCCCGCAACGAGCGCAACCCUUAUCCUUUGUUGCCAGCACGUAAUGGUGGGAACUCAAAGGAGACUGCCGGUGAUAAACCGGAGGAAGGUGGGGAUGACGUCAAGUCAUCAUGGCCCUUACGAGUAGGGCUACACACGUGCUACAAUGGCGCAUACAAAGAGAAGCGACCUCGCGAGAGCAAGCGGACCUCAUAAAGUGCGUCGUAGUCCGGAUUGGAGUCUGCAACUCGACUCCAUGAAGUCGGAAUCGCUAGUAAUCGUAAAUCAGAAUGUUACGGUGAAUACGUUCCCGGGCCUUGUACACACCGCCCGUCACACCAUGGGAGUGGGUUGCAAAAGAAGUAGAUAGCUUAACCUUCGGGAGGGCGUUUACCACUUUGUGAUUCAUGACUGGGGUGAAGUCGUAACAAGGUAAGCGUAGUGCU
rnacentral:rRNA from 1 species